rnacentral:rRNA from 1 species
GGUGAGUAAUGUCUGGGAAACUGCCUGAUGGAGGGGGAUAACUACUGGAAACGGUAGCUAAUACCGCAUAACGUCGCAAGACCAAAGAGGGGGACCUUCGGGCCUCUUGCCAUCGGAUGUGCCCAGAUGGGAUUAGCUAGUAGGUGGGGUAACGGCUCACCUAGGCGACGAUCCCUAGCUGGUCUGAGAGGAUGACCAGCCACACUGGAACUGAGACACGGUCCAGACUCCUACGGGAGGCAGCAGUGGGGAAUAUUGCACAAUGGGCGCAAGCCUGAUGCAGCCAUGCCGCGUGUAUGAAGAAGGCCUUCGGGUUGUAAAGUACUUUCAGCGGGGAGGAAGGGAGUAAAGUUAAUACCUUUGCUCAUUGACGUUACCCGCAGAAGAAGCACCGGCUAACUCCGUGCCAGCAGCCGCGGUAAUACGGAGGGUGCAAGCGUUAAUCGGAAUUACUGGGCGUAAAGCGCACGCAGGCGGUUUGU